GAAAUAUUUCAUAAUAAGCUUCUAACUCAUUAAUAGUGAUUAAAUUCAUUAAUAUUUCU
rnacentral:tRNA from 1 species